AGAGUUUGAUCAUGGCUCAGAUUGAACGCUGGCGGCAUGCUUUACACAUGCAAGUCGAGCGGUAACGCGGGGGCAACCCUGGCGACGAGUGGCGAACGGGUGAGUAAUACAUCGGAACAUAUCCAGUAGCGGGGGAUAGCCUAUCGAAAGAUGGACUAAUACCGCAUACGAUCUACGGAUGAAAGCAGGGGACCGCAAGGCCUUGCACUAUUGGAGUGGCCGAUGUCGGAUUAGCUAGUUGGUGAGGUAAGGCUUACCAAGGCGACGAUCCGUAGCUGGUCUGAGAGGACGAUCAGCCACACUGGAACUGAGACACGGUCCAGACUCCUACGGGAGGCGGCAGUGGGGAAUUUUGGACAAUGGGCGCAAGCCUGAUCCAGCCAUACCGCGUGAGUGAAGAAGGCCUUCGGGUUGUAAAGCUCUUUCGGUGAAGACGAAACGGUUCGUGCUAAUAACGCGGACUAAUGACGGUACUCACAGAAGAAGCACCGGCUAACUACGUGCCAGCAGCCGCGGUAAUACGUAGGGUGCAGGCGUUAAUCGGAAUUACUGGGCGUAAAGCGUGCGCAGGCGGUUUGCUAAGACAGGUGUGAAAUCCCCGGGCUUAACCUGGGAAUUGCGCUUGUAACUGGCAAGCUAGAGUGUGGCAGAGGGGGGUAGAAUUCCACGUGUAGCAGUGAAAUGCGUAGAUAUGUGGAGGAAUACCGAUGGCGAAGGCAGCCCCCUGGGUUAACACUGACGCUCAUGCACGAAAGCGUGGGGAGCAAACAGGAUUAGAUACCCUGGUAGUCCACGCCCUAAACUAUGUCAACUAGUUGUCGGGGAAGAAAUUCCUUGGUAACGAAGCUAACGCGUGAAGUUGACCGCCUGGGGAGUACGGCCGCAAGGUUAAACCUCAAAGGAAUUGACGGGGACCCGCACAAGCGGUGGAUUAUGUGGAUUAAUUCGAUGCAACGCGAAAAACCUUACCUACCCUUGACAUGCUAGGAAGCCCGCAGAGAUGUGGGUGUGCCCGAAAGGGAACCUAGACACAGGUGCUGCAUGGCUGUCGUCAGCUCGUGUCGUGAGAUGUUGGGUUAAGUCCCGCAACGAGCGCAACCCUUGCCAUUAGUUGCUACAUUCAGUUGGGCACUCUAAUGGGACCGCCGGUGACAAACCGGAGGAAGGUGGGGAUGACGUCAAGUCCUCAUGGCCCUUAUGGGUAGGGCUUCACACGUAAUACAAUGGUCGGUACAGAGGGCUGCCAACCCGCAAGGGGGAGCUAAUCCCAGAAAGCCGAUCGUAGUCCGGAUUGUAGUCUGCAACUCGACUGCAUGAAGCCGGAAUCGCUAGUAAUCGCGGAUCAGCAUGUCGCGGUGAAUACGUUCCCGGGUCUUGUACACACCGCCCGUCACACCAUGGGAGUGGGUUCCACCAGAAGUAGUUAGCCUAACCGCAAGGAGGGCGAUUACCACGGUGAGAUUCAUGACUGGGGUGAAGUCGUAACAAGGUA
rnacentral:rRNA from 1 species